CCUGAAAUCAUUCACAUUUCACACUAAGAUAGAAUCAAAACAAUCUGGUAUUCAGGGCAAUGAAAAGGAGCUUGCAUAUUUGUUAGAAGAGAAAAACAUGUCUCUGGCAGCGAUUCAGGCAGCUCAUGAGUCGGAAAUAAAUAACUUGGGCUUAGAACUUGAGAAAGAACGUGACAUGUUAGCAAAUAUUCAGCUAAAAUUACAAGAGGAACUGAAGUUGAAUAAAUCCUUUCAAGAGGAGCUGAACUUAUCAAAAGUGGACAAGGAC